UACGUAGGGGGCAAGCGUUGUCCGGAUUUAUUGGGCGUAAAGAGCGUGUAGGCGGCUUGGUAGGUCCGCUGUGAAAAACUCGAGGCUCAACCUCGAGAUGUCGGCGGAAACCACUUGGCUAGAGUCCGGAAGAGGAGAGUGGAAUUCCUGGUGUAGCGGUGAAAUGCGCAGAUAUCAGGAAGAACACCUAUGGCGAAGGCAGCUCUCUGGGACGGUACUGACGCUGAGACGCGAAAGCGUGGGAGCGAACAGG
rnacentral:rRNA from 1 species